rnacentral:lncRNA from 1 species
UAGCUCAAGGGUAAAACCCGGCAUCACAUGCCCGGGGUCGAUCAAGCCACCAUAGGGAACACCCCAUUGAGAAGGAAGUAGGAAUGGAUGUUACUUCUUAUACUCGAGGUACCCAGUGGCAGAACCACAGCUGAGAGAAAAUUUUCCACCAGAAUAUGAACCUCAGAGGUCGUUAGUGUCUUCGACCGAAUAGGACAAAAUCCUAGCAAUAGGGUCAACUCCAUACAGAGGUCAACUCAGCAUGUGCAGAAGCAAGAGCAUGAGCAAGAAGAAGAACA